UAACACUACAACAAAUAACUAUAUUAAUAACAUAAGAAAUUGACAUUAUCAAAAAAAAAAAGCUACAAUAAAGAAACGUUAAAAGAAAACUAAAUAAAAGAGGGGGCUUUAUUUUGGGGGGUAAAGUUUCAUUAUCCCGCCAUUUUUUUGGGUCACUUAAGCUUACCAAAAGAAAGACUUAGAAAGACAAAAGAAUCCUACACUAAACUAUACCGCCUCCCCCAUUUCUGCAAUGAAUCCAGUUAUGAAGCAGCGAGUACCAAUGAUUUUCCUAUUGCAGUUUGUAUGGUUAAACUAAUCUCCUUGUUGCAGUUUGUAUCGUUAAACUAAUCUCCCGACUUCAUGACUGUCGACGGUCUCACUGGCGAUUGGAAAGACAUUGAUGGAUUUGAGUUCCCUCUCCUCCCUGCUUUCGACCCAGAUGCCGAAGAUGACUGCAAAGAAGGAGAUUGAGUAUGAAGAACUUGAAAAAAUUGGUGAAAGCUGCAAAUAUUAAUAGAAAGGGUUGCAGAAAUCUAGAAGGUUGAAGCUGCAGUUCUGUACAGAAAAGAGCCUCCUACGCGUCAAGAUCUUCUAAACACAAAAGAAGGUUUUUUUUUUUAUCAUAAUUAAUGAGUACCCUCUUUUAAUAAGAAAUUGCUCUUGACUAUCUAAAGUUGUGGUGUUUCUUUAUGACACUUGAUUGAGAGUUGUGAAUAAGAAAGACUAUUGUAGCUUCUAAGAGAACAAGGCUUAUAAAAUUUGGGUGGAAAGAAGAAAUGAAAUCUCUUUGCAGAUAUAGGCAGAAGAAGUUCCAAAAACAGAGGAUUGACACUACUCAAAUGUGGACGAUUAGAAGCUUGCCUGGGCCAAAAUCAUUAACUGCAUAUUACAAAAACUGAAAGUAGUGCAGACUUGCAGAGAUGGCCCUUCUUUAAGUAAGGAGCAAAUUCUAUUUCUUUGAAGUAUGUUCCCAGCAACUUGUAGUUCUUUGACUCCAAGAUAUGAAAAAUUCGAUCACAGGAAUAUAGAACCUUACCUGAUAAGUUAAAAGUCAUAAAAGCACAAAUAGGAGCUCAAUACUCACAUCAGGAUUGAGGUCAAGUCUCAAACAACCAUUGAUUGAUGAAUGUUGAAUUUCUAUAUUUUAACUAAGAUUAUCAUAAGUUUUUGUUUUUCAUUUUGUCCCGGCCCCACGCAAUCUAUAUUGUAUAUGAUACAUUUAUCUUUUUGUGUUGUUACACUUAACAGUCUAGAUAAGCUGCUGUCUUAAACAUAUAAUAGACCAUACUCAUAAUCUUCA